UUCCGGUUGAUCCUGCCGGACCCGACUGCUAUCAGAGUGAGAUUAAGCCAUGCGAGUCAACGUAGCAAUACGUGGCAUACGGCUCAGUAACACGUAGUCAACGUAACCAAAGGACGUGGAUAAACCCGGGAAACUGAGGCUAAACCGCGAUAGAUCAAGAAACCUGGAAUGGUUUUUGAUCAAAAUCUAUAUGGCCUUUGGAUUGGACUGCGUCCGAUCAGGCUGUUGGUGAGGUAAUGGCCCACCAAACCUAUAACCGGUACGGGCUCUGAGAGGAGGAGCCCGGAGAUGGGUACUGAGAUAAGGACCCAGGCCCUAUGGGGCGCAGCAGGCGCGAAACCUCUGCAAUAGGCGAAAGCUUGACAGGGUUACUCUGAGUGACUUUCGUUAAGAAAGUCUUUUGACACCUCUAAAAAUGGUGUAGAAUAAGGGGUGGGCAAGUCUGGUGUCAGCCGCCGCGGUAAUACCAGCACCCCGAGUGGUCGGGACGAUUAUUGGGCCUAAAGCAUCCGUAGCCGGCCUUACAAGUCCUCCGUUAAAUCCAGCUGCUUAACAGAUGGGCUGCGGAGGAUACUAUAAGACUAGGAGGCAGGAGAGGCAAGCGGUACUCAGUGGGUAGGGGUAAAAUCCGUUGAUC
rnacentral:rRNA from 1 species